rnacentral:rRNA from 1 species
AUGAGCAGGAGCGGAGGCGGCGGCCGCGGGAGACAACAACCCGAGGCCGAAUCUGCGGCCGUGCCCGUCCCGGGGCCCUGCGCCUCGACCCAUCGGGCUCUCGCCGAGUGCCACCGCCGUGCCGCCCGCGGCCCGCUGCAGCCCGAGGUGCUGUGCCGGCACCUCAACCGGGCCCUGGCCGAGUGCGUGGUGAACAUGUGCUGCCCCGGCGAGACCGACGCCGUGCGCACGCUCUGCGGCAGCUCCGGCACCGCGCUCAAGCGCUCCCAGUGCGAGCGCGCGCGCAUCGACCUCUCCCUCUGCCUCGAGGCCCAUACAUGA